GAUGAACGCUGGCGGCGUGCCUAAUACAUGCAAGUCGAGCGAACGGACGAGAAGCUUGCUUCUCUGAUGUUAGCGGCGGACGGGUGAGUAACACGUGGAUAACCUACCUAUAAGACUGGGAUAACUUCGGGAAACCGGAGCUAAUACCGGAUAAUAUUUUGAACCGCAUGAUUCAAAAGUGAAAGACGGUCUUGCUGUCACUUAUAGAUGGAUCCGCGCUGCAUUAGCUAGUUGGUAAGGUAACGGCUUACCAAGGCAGCGAUGCAUAGCCGACCUGAGAGGGUGAUCGGCCACAGUGGGAGUGAGAGACGGUCCAGAGUCCUACGGGAGGCAGCGGUAGGGAAUCGUGCGCAAUGGGCGAAAGCCUGACGGAGCAGCGCCGCGUGAGUGAUGAAGGUCUUCGGAUCGUAAGACGCUGUUAUUAGGGAAGAACAUAUGUGUAAGUAACUGUGCACAUCGUGACGGUACCUAAUCAGAAAGCCACGGCUAACUACGUG
rnacentral:rRNA from 1 species